rnacentral:rRNA from 1 species
UACAGAGGAGCCAAGCGUUGUCCGGAUUGACUGGGCGUAAAGCGCACGCAGGCGGACGCGCGCGUGGGGUGUGAAAUCUGGCCGCUUAACGGCCAGGCGCCAUCCCAUACGGCGUGUCUGGAGUGAUGCAGAGGUCGAUGGAAUUGCCGGUGUAGUGGUGAAAUGCGUAGAGAUCGGCAGGAACACCCAGGGGGAAACCAGUCGACUGGGCAUCUACUGACGCUGAGGUGCGAGAGCGUGGGGAGCGAACCGGG